rnacentral:lncRNA from 1 species
UUUGAAUGGAAGAAUUCCUCUUUUGACAAGCUCCUCGAAUUGCAAAUAUGCCACAAACCCACAAGUAGAAGCUGUCCAAAGUUGUAUCUCUCGAAUGCCCAAAUCUUUAGCCACUCUUCCAGCAAAGUCAUAAUUACCAUCAGCAAUUAUGCAAGUAACUGGAAUAUGAGGUGAUGAAGUGUUGAGCUUAAUCACAAGCUCUUUGAAAGGAGCAUAACAAUUUUUUCUAGUUGCAUCACACAACGUUGGAAUAUCUUGUGUUGCAUCUUUAUCUGACUCUGGCAAACCAUCAGGUAUGGUCUCAAAUUGAAAAUCUGGUAGACCCUUCACAAACUCAGCUCCAAGAGAUUUUAUCAAACGUUUGUGGUUGAAUUCAGUGUUCACAAAGGUUAUGUGAAAACCGUUGCAACGUAGGAGUUUGGCUAAUUGCAUGAAAGGGUUCACAUGACCUUGUGCUGGAAAUGGUGCUAAUACAACAUGAGGCUUUUGGCUAUGACCAUGAGGAGGUGAAGAAGAAGAAGGAGUUGUAG